rnacentral:tRNA from 1 species
GCCGGGGUGGCGGAACGGUAGACGCGGCGGACUUAAAAUCCGCUUCCCGCAAGGGAUUGUGGGUUCGAUUCCCGCCCCCGGCACCA